rnacentral:rRNA from 1 species
CGGGGAAGAAAGAGAGUGGCGCACGGGUGAGUAACACGUAGGUAAUCUACCUUUGAGUGGGGAAUAACAAUCGGAAACGAUUGCUAAUACCGCAUAAUGCAGCGGCAUCUUAUGAUGACAGUUGUUAAAGGAGCAAUCCGCUUAAAGAGGAGCCUGCGGCAGAUUAGCUUGUUGGUAAGGUAAUGGCUUACCAAGGCUACGAUCUGUAACCGACCUGAGAGGGUGGUCGGUCACACUGACACUGAAUAACGGGUCAGACUCCUACGGGAGGCAGCAGUCGGGAAUUUUGGGCAAUGGGCGAAAGCCUGACCCAGCAACGCCGCGUGAAGGAUGAAGUCUUUCGGGAUGUAAACUUCGUAAGAAUGGGAAGAAUAAAUGACGGUACCAUUUGUAAGGUCCGGCUAACUACGUGCCAGCAGCCGCGGUAAUACGUAGGGACCAAGCGUUGUUCGGAUUUACUGGGCGUAAAGGGCGCGUAGGCGGCAACUCAAGUCAGCUGUGAAAUCUCCGAGCUUAACUCGGAACGGUCAGCUGAUACUGUUUUGCUAGAGUGCAGAAAGGGCAACCGGAAUUCUUGGUGUAGCGGUGAAAUGCGUAGAUAUCAAGAGGAACACCUGAGGCGAAGGCGGGUUGCUAGGCUGACACUGACGCUGAGGCGCGAAAGCUAGGGUAGCAAACGGGAUUAGAUACCCCGGUAGUCCUAGCCCUAAACGAUGUAUGCUUGGUGUCUGGGAGUUUUAUCUCUGGGGUGCCGUCGCUAACG